CCCGCUGAACUUAAGCAUAUCAAUAAGCGGAGGAAAAGAAACUAACAAGGAUUCCCCUAGUAACGGCGAGUGAAGCGGGAACAGCUCAAAUUUGAAACCUGGCGGCCUUCGGUCGUCCGGAUUGUAUUCUAGAGAAGCGUCUUCCACGCUGGUCCACGUAUAAGUGCCCUGGAACGGGCUGUCAUAGAGGGUGAGAAUCCCGUCCUUGAUGUGGGCUACCAGUGUUUUUGUGAUGCGCUUUCGAAGAGUCGAGUUGUUUGGGAAUGCAGUUCAAAGUGGGUGGUAAAUUCCAUCUAAAGCUAAAUAUUGGCCUGAGACCGAUAGCGAACAAGUACCGUGAGGGAAAGAUGAAAAGCACUUUGAAAAGAGAGUCAAACAGUACGUGAAAUUGCUGAAAGGGAAACGCUUGAAGUCAGUCGCGCCCUCUGGAAUUCAGCCCUGCUUUUGUAGGGUGUACUUUCCAGGGGGUGGGCCAACAUCAGUUUUGGCCGGCAGAUAAAGGCUGGGGGAAUGUGGCUCCUUCGGGAGUGUUAUAGCCCCCAGUCACUUAUGCCGGUUGGGACUGAGGAACGCAGCGCGCCCUUGUGGCAGGCCUUCGGGCACUUUCGCGCUUAGGAUGUUGGCAUAAUGGCUUUAAGCGACCCGUCUUGAAACACGG
rnacentral:rRNA from 1 species